CCUACGGGAGGCAGCAGUGAGGAAUAUUGGUCAAUGGGCGAGAGCCUGAACCAGCCAAGUCGCGUGAGGGAGUACUGCCCUAUGGGUUGUAAACCUCUUUUGUCGGGGAGAAAAAGCAGGACGUGUCCGGCUGUGAGAGUAACCGAAGACAAAGCAUCGGCUAACCCCGUGCCCGCAGCCGCGGUAAUACCGGGGCUGCGAGCGGUAUUCGGAUUUAUUGGGUUUAAAGGGUGCGCAGGCGGAUGUUUAAGUCAGCGGUCAAAUCGUGGGGCCAAACCCCGACCAGCCGUUGAAAUGGGGGAUCUAGAGUGUGCGAGAGGUAUGCGGAAUGCGUGGUGUAGCGGUGAAAUGCAUAGAGAUCACGCAGAACCCCGAUUGCGAAGGCAGCAUACCGGUGCACAACUGACGCUCAGGCGCGAAAGCGUGGGUAUCGAACAGGAUUAGAUACCCGUGUAGUC
rnacentral:rRNA from 1 species